rnacentral:rRNA from 1 species
AAAUUGAAGAGUUUGAUCAUGGCUCAGAUUGAACGCUGGCGGCAGGCCUAACACAUGCAAGUCGAACGGUAACAGGAAGCAGCUUGCUGCUUUGCUGACGAGUGGCGGACGGGUGAGUAAUGUCUGGGAAACUGCCUGAUGGAGGGGGAUAACUACUGGAAACGGUGGCUAAUACCGCAUAACGUCGCAAGACCAAAGAGGGGGACCUUCGGGCCUCUUGCCAUCAGAUGUGCCCAGAUGGGAUUAGCUUGUUGGUGAGGUAACGGCUCACCAAGGCGACGAUCCCUAGCUGGUCUGAGAGGAUAACCAGCCACACUGGAACUGAGACACGGUCCAGACUCCUACGGGAGGCAGCAGUGGGGAAUAUUGCACAAUGGGCGCAAGCCUGAUGCAGCCAUGCCGCGUGUAUGAAGAAGGCCUUCGGGUUGUAAAGUACUUUCAGCGGGGAGGAAGGUGUUGUGGUUAAUAACC